UGGGGAAUAUUGCACAAUGGGCGCAAGCCUGAUGCAGCCAUGCCGCGUGUGUGAAGAAGGCCUUCGGGUUGUAAAGCACUUUCAGCGAGGAGGAAGGUGGUGAGCUUAAUACGCUCAUCAAUUGACGUUACUCGCAGAAGAAGCACCGGCUAACUCCGUGCCAGCAGCCGCGGUAAUACGGAGGGUGCAAGCGUUAAUCGGAAUUACUGGGCGUAAAGCGCACGCAGGCGGUUUGUUAAGUCAGAUGUGAAAUCCCCGGGCUCAACCUGGGAACUGCAUUUGAAACUGGCAAGCUAGAGUCUCGUAGAGGGGGGUAGAAUUCCAGGUGUAGCGGUGAAAUGCGUAGAGAUCUGGAGGAAUACCGGUGGCGAAGGCGGCCCCCUGGACGAAGACUGACGCUCAGGUGCGAAAGCGUGGGGAGCAAACAGGAUUAGAUACCCCUGGUAGUCCACGCUGUAAACGAUGUCGAUUUUGGAGGUUGUGCCCUUGAGGCGUGGCUUCCGGAGCUAACGCGUUAAAUCGACCGCCUGGGGAGUACGGCCGCAAGGUUAAAACUCAAAGGAAUUGACGGGGUCUAGCUG
rnacentral:rRNA from 1 species